GAUGAAGAACGCAGCGAAAUGCGAUAAGUAGUGUGAAUUGCAGAAUUCAGUGAAUCAUCGAAUCUUUGAACGCACAUUGCGCUCCUUGGUAUUCCAUGGGGCAUGCCUGUUCGAGCGUCAUUUGUACCUUCAAGCUUUGCUUGGUGUUGGGUGUUUGUCUCGCCUUUGCGUGUAGACUCGCCUUAAAAUAAUUGGCAGCCGGCGUAUUGAUUUCGGAGCGCAGUACAUCUCGCGCUUUGCACUCAUAACGACAGCGUCCAAAAGUACAUUUUACACUCUUGACCUCGGAUCAGGUAGGGAUACCCGCUGAACUUAAGCAUAUCAAUAAGCGGAGGA
rnacentral:misc_RNA from 1 species